UCGAACGGCAGCACGGAGCUUGCUCUGGUGGCGAGUGGCGAACGGGUGAGUAAUAUAUCGGAACGUACCCUAGAGUGGGGGAUAACGUAGCGAAAGUUACGCUAAUACCGCAUACGAUCUAAGGAUGAAAGUGGGGGAUCGCAAGACCUCAUGCUCGUGGAGCGGCCGAUAUCUGAUUAGGUAGUUGGUGGGAUAAAAGCUUACCAAGCCGACGAUCUGUAGCUGGUCUGAGAGGACGACCAGCCACACUGGGACUGAGACACGGCCCAGACUCCUACGGGAGGCAGCAGUGGGGAAUUUUGCACAAUGGAGGAAACUCUGAUGCAGCGAUGCCGCGUGAGUGAAGAAGGCCCUUGGGUUGUAAAGCUCUUUCGUCGGGGAAGAAAAUGACUGUACCCGAAUAAGAAGGUCCGGCUAACUUCGUGCCAGCAGCCGCGGUAAU
rnacentral:rRNA from 1 species